UACGGAGGGUGCGAGCGUUAAUCGGAAUUACUGGGCGUAAAGGGUGCGUAGGUGGUAAUUUAAGUUAUCUGUGAAAUUCCCGGGCUUAACCUGGGAAGGCCAGAUAAUACUGGAUUACUUGAGUAUAGGAGAGGGCAGUGGAAUUUCCAGUGUAGCGGUGAAAUGCGUAGAGAUUGGAAGGAACACCAGUGGCGAAGGCGACUGCCUGGCCUGAUACUGACACUGAGGCACGAAAGCGUGGGUAGCAAAC
rnacentral:rRNA from 1 species